rnacentral:rRNA from 1 species
CAGUCGCCACGGGAAUACGGAGGGUGCAAGCGUUAAUCGGAAUUACUGGGCGUAAAGCGCACGCAGGCGGUCUGACAAGUCAGAUGUGAAAUCCCCGGGCUUAACCGGGGAACUGCAUUUGAAACUGUCAGGCUGGAGUCUUGUAGAGGGGGGUGGAAUUCCAGGUGUAGCGGUGAAAUGCGUAGAGAUCUGGAGGAAUACCGGUGGCGAAGGCGGCCCCCUGGACAAAGACUGACGCUCAGGUGCGAAAGCGUGGGGAGCAAACAGGAUUAGAUACCCGCGUAGUCCCUGUCUCUUAUAC